AUUGAACGCUGGCGGCAGGCCUAACACAUGCAAGUCGAACGGAUCCUUCGGGAUUAGUGGCGGACGGGUGAGUAACACGUGGGAACGUGCCCUUUGGUUCGGAACAACUCAGGGAAACUUGAGCUAAUACCGGAUGUGCCCUUCGGGGGAAAGAUUUAUCGCCAUUGGAGCGGCCCGCGUCUGAUUAGCUAGUUGGUGAGGUAAAGGCUCACCAAGGCGACGAUCAGUAGCUGGUCUGAGAGGAUGAUCAGCCACAUUGGGACUGAGACACGGCCCAAACUCCUACGGGAGGCAGCAGUGGGGAAUCUUGCGCAAUGGGCGAAAGCCUGACGCAGCCAUGCCGCGUGAAUGAUGAAGGUCUUAGGAUUGUAAAAUUCUUUCACCGGGGACGAUAAUGACGGUACCCGGAGAAGAAGCCCCGGCUAACUUCGUGCCAGCAGCCGCAGUAACAC
rnacentral:rRNA from 1 species